rnacentral:rRNA from 1 species
UACGUAGGGUGCAAGCGUUGUCCGGAAUUAUUGGGCGUAAAGAGCUCGUAGGCGGUCUGUCGCGUCGGCUGUGAAAACCUAGGGCUCAACCCUGGGCCUGCAGCCGAUACGGGCAGACUAGAAUUCGGUAGGGGAGACUGGAAUUCCUGGUGUAGCGGUGAAAUGCGCAGAUAUCGGGAAGAACACCCGUGGCGAAGGCGGUUCUCUGGGACGGUACUGACGCUGAGACGCGAAAGCGUGGGGAGCGAACAGG